rnacentral:lncRNA from 1 species
AGAAGCUCCCUGUGCCCAUGGGGCCAUCUCGGCUUGUCCGUGGCCCUCGGCCCCAGGGCAUGCGUUCCCCCUACCGCAGGCCAGGUAUGGGCUGGCCCAGGCCCCGAUUUCCCAGGAUGUUCAAGUGUAGCCGCAGAAGAUAUCAACAGGGUCUCCGAGGUCGAACUGCCAGCAGUGCAGCCAUCAAUCCUGCCACCAGGGCCAUGGGUAUCAACAACACCCACACUGACACCACCAUAGUGUGGAUCUUCCCACCUCAAGGUGAGAUAACCUGAGGAAAUCAGAGGGAAUACAGCCCUUACCUUGCACCCUUCAUCCUAACAACCAUAUCUCCAGAAUUCCACAGAGCAGUGCUUCCUUCUCACACCCUAGGCUGUGCUCCCAACAUGGCACUAACACACCAUCCAACUAAUUGGUGGCCCAUGAUACUCAUAU